CAGCAGUCGCCGCGGUAAAACGGAGGGAGCUAGCGUUGUUCGGAAUCACUGGGCGUAAAGCGCACGUAGGCGGCUAUUCAAGUCAGGGGUGAAAGCCCGGGGCUCAACCCCGGAACUGCCUUUGAAACUAGAUAGCUUGAAUCUUGGAGAGGCGAGUGGAAUUCCGAGUGUAGAGGUGAAAUUCGUAGAUAUUCGGAAGAACACCAGUGGCGUAGGCGACUCGCUGGACAAGUAUUGACGCUGAGGUGCGAAAGCGUGGGGAGCAAACAGGAUUAGAUACCCCUGUAGUCCCUGUCUCUUAUAC
rnacentral:rRNA from 1 species